GAUUAAGUUAUUAAGGGCGCACGGUGGAUGCCUUGGCACUAGAAGCCGAUGAAGGACGUUACUAACGACGAUAUGCUUUGGGGAGCUGUAAGUAAGCUUUGAUCCAGAGAUUUCCGAAUGGGGAAACCCAGCAUGAGUUAUGUCAUGUUAUCGAUAUGUGAAUACAUAGCAUAUCAGAAGGCACACCCGGAGAACUGAAACAUCUUAGUACCCGGAGGAAGAGAAAGAAAAUUCGAUUCCCUUAGUAGCGGCGAGCGAAACGGGAAGAGCCCAAACCAACAAGCUUGCUUGUUGGGGUUGUAGGACACUCUAUACGGAGUUACAAAGGACGACAUUAGACGAAUCAUCUGGAAAGAUGAAUCAAAGAAGGUAAUAAUCCUGUAGUCGAAAAUGUUGUCUCUCUUGAGUGGAUCCUGAGUACGACGGAGCACGUGAAAUUCCGUCGGAAUCUGGGAGGACCAUCUCCUAAGGCUAAAUACUCUCUAGUGACCGAUAGUGAACCAGUACCGUGAGGGAAAGGUGAAAAGCACCCCGGAAGGGGAGUGAAAUAGAACCUGAAACCGUGUGCUUACAAGUAGUCAGAGCCCGUUAAUGGGUGAUGGCGUGCCUUUUGUAGAAUGAACCGGCGAGUUACGAUUUGAUGCAAGGUUAAGCAGUAAAUGUGGAGCCGUAGCGAAAGCGAGUCUGAAUAGGGCGUUUAGUAUUUGGUCGUAGACCCGAAACCAGGUGAUCUACCCUUGGUCAGGUUGAAGUUCAGGUAACACUGAAUGGAGGACCGAACCGACUUACGUUGAAAAGUGAGCGGAUGAACUGAGGGUAGCGGAGAAAUUCCAAUCGAACCUGGAGAUAGCUGGUUCUCUCCGAAAUAGCUUUAGGGCUAGCCUCAAGUGAUGAUUAUUGGAGGUAGAGCACUGUUUGGACGAGGGGCCCCUCUCGGGUUACCGAAUUCAGACAAACUCCGAAUGCCAAUUAAUUUAACUUGGGAGUCAGAACAUGGGUGAUAAGGUCCGUGUUCGAAAGGGAAACAGCCCAGACCACCAGCUAAGGUCCCAAAAUAUAUGUUAAGUGGAAAAGGAUGUGGCGUUGCCCAGACAACUAGGAUGUUGGCUUAGAAGCAGCCAUCAUUUAAAGAGUGCGUAAUAGCUCACUAGUCGAGUGACACUGCGCCGAAAAUGUACCGGGGCUAAACAUAUUACCGAAGCUGUGGAUUGUCCUUUGGACAAUGGUAGGAGAGCGUUCUAAGGG
rnacentral:rRNA from 1 species